CGUUGCACAAACAUCAUAGAGGGUACUUGCAGAAACCUAGAUGGUAUAGCCUACCACACACCUGGGCUAUUUGGUACUAAUCUCGUGGGACCGUUGUCACAUAUGCAGUCCACUGUGACUGAA